AUUGAACGCUGGCGGCAUGCCUUACACAUGCAAGUCGAACGGCGGCACGGGUGCUUGCACCUGGUGGCGAGUGGCGAACGGGUGAGUAAUACAUCGGAACGUACCUUAUCGUGGGGGAUAACGCAGCGAAAGUUGCGCUAAUACCGCAUACGCCCUGAGGGGGAAAGCGGGGGACCGUAAGGCCUCGCGCGAUUAGAGCGGCCGAUGUCUGAUUAGCUUGUUGGUGAGGUAAAAGCUCACCAAGGCGAUGAUCAGUAGCUGGUCUGAGAGGACGCUAAGCCCAGAUGGGACUGAGACACGGCCCAGACUCCGACGGGAGGCAGCAGUGGGGAAUUUUGGACAAUGGGGGCAACCCUGAUCCAGCAAUGCCGCGUGAGUGAAGAAGGCCUUCGGGUUGUAAAGCUCUUUUGUCAGGGAAGAAACAGCAGAUCUAACACAGUCUGCGAAUGACGGUACCUGAAGAAUAAGCACCGGCUAACUACGUGCCAGCCGCCGCCGUAA
rnacentral:rRNA from 1 species